UGGAAAAUUAAUCAUUUAUUUGCCCUUUCUAGGUUUCAGGUUUCACGAGUUUUACACAGAUGAACGCCGAUAUCUACAACGUCGAUGACGUUGUAUUAAUCAAUGGCUGGAAAGAAUAGGAGGUGCGGCUAUCCAUGCUAUUUCCAGAAUGUGGGAAGUAGACUCCAGUGACGUGGAGUCGAUAAUGUAUUACAUCUUAGAAAUAUCCCGAGAGACAAAAGUCGAAAGCCUCCAAGAAUGGGUGGCAUCAACUGUAUGACUGUCCAAAAAAACAAUUGAUGACAUGUUGAAAAGUGUUGUGGAAUUAAAGAUAGGGAAUAAAAUUGAUCUUUAUGUUUAUGUUUGUGUCUUCAUGUAGUUGUAGCUUACCAUUGAACUUAUGUAAUGCCAGUAAUAGGAUAUUUCAAUUUCACUUGUAUUUACGUUAAUGUUCAGGCACUAUCCAUGGUUGUAUAUUUAUGUUUACUUCACAUAAAGAAGCAUUUUGGCAGAUUUGCAAAUGCAAGCUGAAAUAAAUCCCUUGUUCCAUAAAA